rnacentral:siRNA from 1 species
ACCGGUAGUGUUCCGCAAAACUCC